CUACGGGACGCAGCAGUGAGGAAUAUUGCACAAUGGGGGGAACCCUGAUGCAGCAACGCCGCGUGGAGGAUGACGCAUUUCGGUGUGUAAACUCCUUUUAUAUGUCAAGAAAAUGACGGUAGCAUAUGAAUAAGCACCGGCUAACUCCGUGCCAGCAGCCGCGGUAAUACGGAGGGUGCAAGCGUUACUCGGAAUCACUGGGCGUAAAGGACGCGUAGGCGGGUUGGAAAGUCAGGUGUGAAAUCCUACAGCUUAACUGUAGAACUGCACUUGAAACUUCUAAUCUAGAGUAUGGGAGGGGGAGAUGGAAUUAGUGGUGUAGGGGUAAAAUCCGUAGAUAUCACUAGGAAUACCUAAAGCGAAGGCGAUCUCCUGGAACAUUACUGACGCUAAGGCGUGAAAGCGUGGGGAGCAAACAGGAUUAGAUACCCCGGUAGUC
rnacentral:rRNA from 1 species